GAUGAACGCUGGCGGCGUGCCUAAUACAUGCAAGUCGAGCGAACAGACGAGGAGCUUGCUCCUCUGACGUUAGCGGCGGACGGGUGAGUAACACGUGGAUAACCUACCUAUAAGACUGGGAUAACUUCGGGAAACCGGAGCUAAUACCGGAUAAUAUAUUGAACCGCAUGGUUCAAUAGUGAAAGACGGUUUUGCUGUCACUUAUAGAUGGAUCCGCGCCGCAUUAGCUAGUUGGUAAGGUAACGGCUUACCAAGGCGACGAUGCGUAGCCGACCUGAGCGGGAGGUCGGCCACACUGGAACUGAGACACGGUCCAGACUCCUACGGGAGGCAGCAGUAGGGAAUCUUCCGCGAUGGGCGAAAGCCUGACGGAGCAACGCCGCGUGAGUGAUGAAGGUCUUCGGAUCGUAAAGCUCUGUUAUUAGGGAAGAACAAAUGUGUAAGUAACUAUGCACGUCUUGACGGUACCUAAUCAGAAAGCCACGGCUAACUACGUG
rnacentral:rRNA from 1 species